AUAGAAUUCUAGCACAUGUACCUAGCUAGAAAGUAAUAGAACUCUCUAGACUCUCUAGAAUUCUCCAUAGAAUUCUAGCACAUGUACAUAGCUAAGAAAUGGUAGAACUCUCUAGACACUCUAGAGCUUAGCAAGCCUCCCCUAUAAAUAUGGGAUGGCAUUUGGCAUUUGAAUAACACACAACACACAACAUAUCAAGCCAAAAGAAUCAAAAAACAAGUUUGAGUAAUAAAAGUUUCUCUUCUCCAAAAUCUUUCUACUCUUCCAAAAUUCCCUUAGCCUAAAAGCCUCCCUCCAAAUAUUAAUAGCAAUCCUCUUCCAACAUGAUAUUGAUAUUGUGUAUGGUAUUAGGAGCAUGGGUCCCUUCUUGGCUAUGGUUGAAAUUUUUGUCUUUAUUGGGAUCACUUUUUGGAGGGUUAGUGUAGUUUUGGUAGUUUUGGGAUGAAGAUUUUUGAGAGGUUUUGGAGUAUGACACUGUUUUUAUUGAUCAUGAGAAUUUAAGUGUGUAUUAGUUGAGAUACUUGUUUGUGUGGUUGCGUUGGUAGUAGUUUUAGGUGUAUUAGAUUUGCCAAUUGGACACUUUAAACUUGUAUGCCCUAGACAUUCACAGUUAAUACAUAUUGAAGUGGGAUCUUCAUAAUGAAUUGUUGCAAAUAUGUUCCUAGAAGCACAUUUUUUAGUAGGGGUUUAUAAAUUGGCGCUAGAAUGCAAAGACGAGCAUAACAAUCUCUAGUAGUUUGAACUGUGCAUAUGUCAUUCUUUAGUAUCUUGCCUAUAUGAUUUGCUAUUUUUUGGAGUAUUCUAAGUCAUAAUAUUCAUUUGAUUAUUCUUUUAGGCAAAUCCAAGUGGUUGAUAUGUUAAUAUCUGCAUUGGCCGGGUUGAAUUUGAGUUCCCAUUGUCUAAUAGUAAGGUAUUGGGAUCUAAUAAACUAUGUUCUCAGGAUUUAGUUGUAGUUGUCUAAAUUUGAGAUUUGUACUAGAUAGUAUU
rnacentral:lncRNA from 1 species